UCGACCCAAGUAUUUGGUAACAUUCACGGUUGGUUAUAACCUGAAAGACAACAUUGAUGCUGCUGUCAAAAAGUUUUCGGACAAUUUUACAAUUCUUCUGUUUCACUAUGAUGGUCGAACGACUGAAUGGGAUGAGUUCGAGUGGUCCAAGCGGGCUAUCCAUGUCAGUGUUGCUAAACAGACAAAAUGGUGGUAUGCGAAAAGGUUUCUGCAUCCCGACAUUGUUGCUGCAUAUGAAUAUAUAUUUAUCUGGGAUGAAGACCUG